UUAAAGGCUGUGAAAAGAAGAGUAGAUAAUGUUUUGCGCGGACAGAGAGCCCUUCAGCUGCUGAGAGAGGGUCACGGAAAAGUUAUUGAAGAUGGUCUUGGAGCUUCGCACCGAAUGGGAGACCUUUAGGCUGCGACGGGAGCACCCGUUAUCAUGAUUACCUGUAAGAUACUCAAUAGAAGAAAUCUGAUACAGAGUUGGAUCGGCAGGGAAGAGGGCCUUAUCAGGGCUGAAUUAAAGUGGUACCACGGGAGCAUGUUCUCGUCUUUAAA
rnacentral:ncRNA from 1 species